UGUGGUUAAUUCGAUGCAACGCGAAGAACCUUACCUGGUCUUGACAUCCCGGAGACCCUUAGGAAACUAGGGGUGCUUCCAUCUGGAAGAAUCUGGAGACAGGUGCUGCAUGGCUGUCGUCAGCUCGUGUCGUGAGAUGUUGGGUUAAGUCCCGCAACGAGCGCAACCCUUGCCUUUAGUUGCCAGCAGUUCGGCUGGGCACUCUAAAGGGACUGCCGGUGUUAAACCGGAGGAAGGUGGGGAUGACGUCAAGUCCUCAUGGCCUUUAGACCAGGGCUACACACGUACUACAAUGGCCGAUACAAAGGGCAGCGACACUGCGAGGUGAAGCCAAUCCCGUAAAAUCGGUCUCAGUCCGGAUUGGAGUCUGCAACUCGACUCCAUGAAGUUGGAAUCGCUAGUAAUCGUGGAUCAGCAUGCCACGGUGAAUACGUUCCCGGGCCUU
rnacentral:rRNA from 1 species